rnacentral:rRNA from 1 species
UACAGAGGUGGCAAGCGUUGUUCGGAAUUACUGGGCGUAAAGGGCUCGUAGGCGGCCAACUAAGUCAGACGUGAAAUCCCUCGGCUUAACCGGGGAACUGCGUCUGAUACUGGCGAGCUUGAGUGCAGGAGAGGAACGCGGAAUUCCAGGUGUAGCGGUGAAAUGCGUAGAUAUCUGGAGGAACACCGGUGGCGAAGGCGGCGUUCUGGACUGCAACUGACACUGAUGAACGAAAGCCAGGGGAGCAAACGGG